CUCAUGUACUGUUUCUACAGCAAUAAUGGAUUCCUGUGCCGCGGGGAACUUUAUUGACCAGACCCUUGCCUCUCAACUUCACCUCAUACCCGCUCUCCUCUCCUUUCGCGGUUCAAGCCCUCGAUAAUCAGCAACUAGGUUCCGGGACCAUCAGACACGUCAUCAAACCACUCACUGCGCCCCCACGCAGAUGCCGCUACCCUCUGUCGGUGGCUGAAACCCAGGCCAUGGAAGAGUACAUCCAUGAGGCGCUCCAACUAGGUUUCAUCCGCAGGUCCACUUCUCCUGUGUCAGCAGGUUAAUUCUUCAUGGCCAAGGAUGGAGGGUUACGCCCAUGUAUUGAUUAGAGGACUCAAUGAAGUCGCCACCAAGUACCGUUACCCUCUCCCAUUGGUGCCCGGCAGCUAUCAAAGAGCUCCGCGGGGCCCAGUUCUUUACCAAAUUGGACCUACGGAGUGCAUACAAUCUCAUCCGCAUCUGGGAGGGGAAUGAAUGGAAGACAGCUUUUAGCACAAUAUCUGGUCACUACGAGUGUUCCAGGCAUUCGUCAACGAGGUGUUUCGGGACAUGCUCUGACGCCAGGUGGUCGUGUAUAGCGACAUCCUGGUUUACUCGGCAACCUUGGAGGGUCACAUUGAGUGGAUGAUAAAUGAAGACCCCGAUGAGAGACCUACAGUGGAGUAAACCCUGACUCAUCCCUCCUUCUGGAAACCACAGAGGAGAGUUGGGAAUGAGAGGUCGGGAAGUGUCAUGAUGCUGACCCAGAGCUUCUCGACGUGCUGUGGAGAGAACCUUCUGUCAGUGGAGAUCCAAGCUGCCCUCUGCUUUGAUGAAAAAGAUGGCUGGCAGAAAGCCCUUCCCUGAGAACAUGUUGGGGUUACUACGCUUCAUACGCAACCUCCAUGAGCACUAUGCUGAGGAUUUAGCAUCUGACCUGAUGGUCCCUGAUCUCUUUGGAUGCGUCUACAUGUUGGCCAAGAAACAGGGGUGUGUCAAAAAAAGACAGUUAUGUUGCUCUUUGAUAGCCUUUAUUAUAUUGAGAGGUGCAUUAACAUUUUAGGGUGGUUAAUAGAAAACUGUUGAUGAUCAAACCUAGGUAGGAAACGGUUAUUAACAUUUUAUUUUGCAGUGUUUGGUAAUUUAGUAUGCAAAUAAUGAUGACUCUCCUACAUAGUUUGUCAAAUGCAGUGUACCUGCUGAGAGAUGGAGGGGAUGAGAGGUGAGAACAUCAAUCUCAUCUUCAUGUAUGACAUUACAUGCAAGAUCUAACCACAUGUGCAAGUAAUUAACCUUUGUUAUUCAAGAUCCCAUUUACUUUAACAUUUGAAUAGCAGUUUUCACACUUUUUUUAAAACAUUUUGUUAAACUUUUUAGAUAUACAUUCCUGAAUUGAAGCAUGGGACCAAAUCUGUCAGUUUUCCAUGCUUACGGACACGACUUGCCAUGUCGGGUACUUGAACAUGAUCAUUAAUAUUGUCACUAGGUAUUUAAUGUUUUUAAGGUUUAACUAAAUCCUUUUUGCCAUGGUAUGACAUGUUUUAUAUUUGUAGAUGAAAUUCAACACAAGAUGUGUUGAAGGUGCUGGACUGGGAAAUGGGAAGCAGAUGGAGAUGCUGUGGUCGUAUCUGAGGCACUUUGGGAAGGUCACUAGAUGACGCCGUCCCAUCGUAUUGACCUCCUGACUGAUGCCCUUCACCAUGGGAAAAGAUGUGCCAGAGGCAACUGGACGAAAGUUGCAACAGAAGCAGAAUGGAAAAUGGCAGAAAUUGCAGUCUCUAACAGGGCCCAGCAGGAAAGUGGAGAUGGAAUAGCUGUUGCUCAGCUUAUGCAGAUCGAAAACUGAAGACGAUGGAGAGGAAGAACGGCAUCCUCCAUCGAUGGUCCCCCACCAGCAGUCUCUUCCAGACUGCACUCCACAGACUGCAGAGUAACAGAUUGAAGACCAAUUUGGAAGGAACAUUCAGUCUGGUGCUAGAACGGAGGUUACUCUGUGGCCUGAAGAGAUAAUAUGCAGGAAAUAUAUAUUCAACAAUAGGAACAAGUCAACUCAUAUCAGUUCUAUGAUAUUUCUGGGUGGGCAAACACAAUCAAUCAAAAAUGUGUUGCUGUUUUUGAACUUGUUUCUGAUGCUUAUGGUCUAUUGUUGGAUGGUAAUAAAGUGUAUAGCAGCUGUUGUCAUUUUUGAAUGUUUUUGUUUAGAUUGGAUUACCUUUAACAUAUUUUUUUGUCUGUCUUAUCUGUUAUCAAUAGAUGGUCAAGGUAUUGCCAACCGCCUGUCCAAAAAGCUUGCCACGGUCGGUAGUAGCAUACUCUUUAAAAAAAAAACGUUUUUUAAGGACUACAACCUGAGACCAGGUUUUUCCUCACAGCUCUCACAAGUCCUGGUGUAUGAGGAUGCAGUGCAGGUGGACAGCACUGUUUGGUCCUGGAGAGCAGGAAGAGCAGAGGAUGAUGGGGAGUUUCACUUCAAGCAAAGGCUCUCUGUGCUCCAUUCCCUCAGAACGGGCGUGUGAAGAUAACUGGUACAUUGAGGAUGAAGCCAUCACUGCCAAGAAGUUCUACUCACAUGAGCAGGAACUGAUCGUGGAGGCCUUACAACAUUACACAGAGCAAGAUGGAUUUAGUCUUGGGGCAAGAGCUGUCCUUGCUGGAAUGCUUGCUGAGCAUCAGCAUGCAGAAGGACAAAGUGAAUUGUUCAGAAGUGCUUUUUUGAGGGCAGCGGUAUAAACAUUGAAGUGGAGGACAUUGAGGAAGUGGAUGAGGAUGAUGACUAUGAUGGGGAUUACGACAACGAUGGUGAUAUUGAUGGAGGAAAAAAUGUAUGAGGCUGAGUGUGUCUAAUUGUUGUUUGUUUCUUGUCCAUUCUGUUUUAAUGUAUGUAAUUCAGUGGUGUACAGUAUUUAAGUAAAAAAAGGGGGGUAAAAUGAAAAAAUAUUAAACAUACAACAAAAAUUGUAUGUUUUGUUAUUUUUGGGUUAAAGGAAGCACUCUGGCCAUUUCUGUUUAAUUGUUAGAUGUGAUAUAUAGGCCAUUCUUUCAUGUCAUUUACCAUUUAUGUCAUGGUGAGGGGAACCUGACGUGAACCUGCUAUACCCCAACCUGAGUCUAAUGCAAUAGACAGGUUUGCUUCCUCCAAAGUAUUGUAUUUUCAUUGACUUGUUAGUUGUGGAGUUUGUAAACAUCAAUUUAGAUAAUUUUGUAAAUAUUGUAAUUUGAACAUCUAAAUCACUGUUGUCAUUUUUAAAAUAAAUAACUUCUGC
rnacentral:lncRNA from 1 species